UAUUGUUUUAUGGGUAUAGAGUUUCAGUUUUGCAAGAUGAAAAACUUCCAGAAAUGGAUGGUGGCGAUGGUGCACAACAAUGUGAAUGCACUUAAUGCCACUGACUUGUACAUUUAAAAAUAGGUUAAAAUGUCUGUUUUAUGUUAGGUACCUUUUACUACAUUUAAAAACAAAGACCAUGGGCAAGCCAUUUCCUUGCUCUGUGCCUCAGUGACAUUAUCUGUGAAAUAAAUGUGUAGAAAUAGAUGGACUCCCAAGGAUGCAUUCAACACUGCAAGUCUGUAUGUCUAAACAUCCCUUCUGUCCUCACAGGGUUUAGCAUCAAGUGGGAGAGAUGAAAUGCAGGAAUAAAAUUUAAAAUACUUCUAGUUAAUGUUUUAAGUACCCAAUUAGUGAUUUUUCAAAAAGAAAUAUGUAUUCUUGACAAGGGAUAGAGCAGAAAUCUGGAGGACUGCUUUGUGGAGGUAGAACUGGAUAAUGCCCACUUAAAGAUGUAUCUAGCUUGGAUGUGGGUCUGUGCCAUUGGGAUGGCCUUAGCAGAGGUGAGCAGGCUUCACCACACCAGGGGUGCAUGGAACAGCAAGAAGAUGAAUCUGUUGAUGGUAAAGGCUUCUGUGUCAGAGUGAAACAUUGAGGAGGACCCAUGGGAGACCUGGAGGGACUCUGAAUAGAAGAGAGUGAUUGGACAAGAGACCUGGUCCAUCCACAAACUGGCUCUGUGGCCUUGGCUAAUCACUAGGAUCUCAGUUCCUGCUGUAUGACACCAAGCCUAGCUCCCUUGCAAGAUGGAAGCACAGCCUAGCUGAUCUUGUUCUUCCUGCUAGAAAACUCUGUGAUUCUCUUUGCCUUCCAGGCAGCAGACACGUGGGAUUCCUGCUGCCUGGCCAGUGCUGGAUGCUGGACUCCAGCAGUGACAGGCCCCGAACCUGUCCUUGUGAAGGCCACUUUUUUAGUGGCGGUGGCUCAUCUAGCAGGCUGAGGAAUGUGCAAAGGACGUGUAAGAAAAUCUACUUAGCAACAGGGUAUAUAAUGAGUUAAAGAACUGAGCUUCUAAUGGCAAUGAGACCAGCCAGGGGAGUGCUGUAAAAGUUUAGAUGUAGAUUAAGACUCAGAAGGGCUGAACUUGGUUAGGAGACAAGAAAAUAAAAUGGAAAGUCUAAUGCACGAACCCUAGAACCACAUGAAUAUCAAAGCUCACACUGUCGUACUGUGUGCCUCCUUUUCCCUUGCCCUGCCCUUUUUCAAUCUCCCAAAGCUGCACCCUUUCCUCUUGUGCCUUCGGUAUUUCCUAUGCCACAUGAUAUGGUUUGGCUCUGUGUCUCCACCCAGAUCUCAUCUCGAACUGUAAUCCCCAUGGGAGGUGGUCAGAUCAUGAUGGUGGCUUCCCCCACGCUGUUCUCAGGAUAGCGAGUGAGUUCUCACAAGAUCUGAUGGUUUUAUUAGAGGCUCUUCCCCCUUAGCUUUCACUUCUUUCAUCUGCCACCAUGUAAGACGUGCCUACUUCCCCUUUCCCAUGAUUGUAAGUUUCAUGAGACCUCUGCAGCCAUGUGGACCUGUGAAUCAAUUAAACCUCUUUCCUUUAUAAAUUACCCAGUCUCAGGUAUUUCUUUAUAGCAUAAGAACAGGC